AGCACUCAGGCGUGACCAAAAGCGAGGGGUCACCCGAAAAGCACAAAAACUAGUGUGUUGCUUUUCAGUUUCACGCCCCUAGGAGCUUUCCCUGGUAAACACUGCUGGUCUUUGCGCCUCGCCGCUGGAUGCAUACAUAGUUGGGAUCCGGAGCUGUGCUCGCAAACCUGAGGAAACCAUAUGUGCAGUUCAAGGAAAGAUCAGCUCACCUAACUCCGCCUAUGUGCUUCUCUUUGAAGAUGGUCUUCAGGCAUUCAGAAUUUGUCUCUCUUAUAGUUGAACAAGCUCCCUCGAAGGCAGGAUUGUGCAAAUGCAUCUGAUUCAUACUGCUGCAACCGCAGGUGUAAGAGCACAGCAAAAGCAGAGUGAGGAUGAUCACAGCCUAGCAGCUGGCUCACUAGCCCCAGAAGCUCACAAAGAAACCAUGACCCUACUUACAGGAGCAGCUUCCAGACUCACGCCAGUCAUGCCGAGGACUCGCAUGGCUUCUCUUCCAAGCUCACAGGGAAGAGAUGAUAUCGUUUAAUUGAUGCUUUUCUUCAAAGGGGCCCAUUGUUUCUGUGCUUCCCUCCGACAGCUCCACAUAGUCACACCUUCCCAUUGCUGUUCCACAGAUUUCUUAAGCCCCUCCUACAAGCUCCACGCUGUUCAAGAAAGUGGAUAUCCAGUUGCCAAAAUCAUCAGCUGGGUACAGACAGGGCUGCCUCUGUCCAUGGAUUUUGUGGGAAUUUCUGCUGGUACUGAGCUGAAGGAUAAGAGCACGAGGCUGAAAGCUCAGGGUCUGGCCAGACAGAAGGCGUGGGCAGGAGUCUCGUGACCUUAUGCAGCCACCGUCAUGAGCUAGCAGGCGGUACUGAGCCUUUACCUUCCCGCUUAUACAGUGGGGGUCACACCAGCAUCUAUUCCCCCAGGAGCAUUUUGAGGAUCAAAUGAAAUAAUACAAAUACAAGUUGCUGGCCUAGUGACUGGAAUUUAGAAGUGCUCAGAAGAGUGGAUCUCUUUACUGAACACUAUUAUUUUCCUGGGUUUACAUACAAACAGUUAACUUGUUCUCUACAAACGUUGAGAGUUCCUUGAGCCUUCAGCUGGGCUGAGCUUAAGAAAAGCUUUCCCAAGGGCUGCAAAUGAUGUGUGACUCCAUGCAUAACAAGCCCACGGUGGAGCAGUCACCCGCUGAAUGUCAAAGUUACCAUUUCUCCUGGCCAAUAGAAUGAAAGAAUAAGCACUGGUGUUGUGGCCCAAAUUCCCUUUCUUGAGGGUGUGUUUUUGUUUGAUUUAUUCUGGAGAAAACUGGUCCUGAGAGAGGCUACGAAAAUAUGGUCACACAAGAAAGGGCCGUAUAAGGUGCAGUGUACAGCUAAUGUCCACAAGGCACCUCAGCAUGACAAAAGGCAGAGACCACGGAAAGAACGGAAACCAGUGUUAGCUUUCUGUCAGUUCCCAAGGUUGUUUCUCUGUAGAAUUCUAGCAUCAGUCGACAUCUCAAGGGACACUGCUUGCCAAACGUAGCUACACAAGCCAAGAAGAGCUUGCUUUACAACCUUUAAGAUAUGAAAGGGUCCUUGCUUGAGAACCAGGCAAGCUUUCUCUGACCCUUGCCCUCACCCAUAAUGCAGUCACAGAGCAAGUCACCUCAUGCAAAAUGCAGUGAUAAUAUGUCCUCCACACUUAACCAUAGAGAGAGGAGUCAUCACAAAAUCCACCUCCGGUGUGAACAGCAGUUGGCAGUGACAGUUAAGAUUUUUAGCUUGAGCUUCCGACUUUGUACCAGAAUAACCUUGAGGAAGCAGUUUGUGAAGGGUGAAAGCCUUUUGAUAUUGGAGGGCUGAGGGGAGACUGGGUGUGUUCUCAGGCACAGCUGUGACAGCAGGGUCAGGUAUGUGCGGGAAAGGAGUAGGAACGAAGGCAAGGAUGGUGGAGUAGUGAAAGAAAAGAAUUCAGCGUUCAGCUGUUGAGGCCACCAAUGGAAACGGUGAGAAAAAUGUGGGUAGGAGUGAUUGGUGAGUGAAUCAGCACUGUCCCUGGCAUGACAGUCUGAAGGUCUACCAGCCUCUCAGCAGACUCCUUUUGUUAGGUCUUAGGGGAGAGAUUAUAUCUUGAGAAAUAAACUGAAGAGAUGUCAGCAAGUGAUUGCAAAACUGUGGAGAGGAGGCUCAUGUCUCACUCAGCUGUGCAUCUUCUGCCUUCACCCUAAUGUCUGGUGCAAACAUAGAAGCUUUAGAGUAUUUCAAGAAUGAAUGAUGAGAGCUAGGAAGAUAGCUCCGCAGUCUAAGUGCC